UACGUAGGCAGCAAACGUUGUUCGGAAUUACUGGGCGUAAAGCGCGUGUAGGCAGUUUCGCAAGUCGGGUGUGAAAGCCCUGGGCUCAACCUAGGAAGUGCACUCGAAAACUGCGAGACUUGAGUCCUGGAGAGGAAGGCGGAAUUCUCGGUGUAGAGGUGAAAUUCGUAGAUAUCGAGAGGAACACCGGUGGCGAAGGCGGC
rnacentral:rRNA from 1 species